rnacentral:rRNA from 1 species
AGUGAACGCUGGCGGUAGGCCUAACACAUGCAAGUCGAACGGCAGCACAGUAAGAGCUUGCUCUUACGGGUGGCGAGUGGCGGACGGGUGAGGAAUACAUCGGAAUCUACUUUUUCGUGGGGGAUAACGUAGGGAAACUUACGCUAAUACCGCAUACGACCUACGGGUGAAAGCAGGGGAUCUUCGGACCUUGCGCGAUUGAAUGAGCCGAUGUCGGAUUAGCUAGUUGGCGGGGUAAAGGCCCACCAAGGCGACGAUCCGUAGCUGGUCUGAGAGGAUGAUCAGCCAAAAGGGAACUGAGACACGGGCCAGAAUCCUACGGGAGGCAGCAGUGGGGAAUAUUGGAAAAUGGGGGCAAGCCUGAUCCAGCCAUACCGGGUGGGUGAAGAAGGCCUUCGGGUUGUAAAGCCCUUUUGGGGGGAAAAAAAAGCAGGGGGUUAAUACCCCGCUGUUCUGACGGUAACCAAAGAAUAAGCACCGGCUAACUUCGU